rnacentral:lncRNA from 1 species
GGAUGACUGGUGAAAAAGAUGUGCAGUUCAAAGUAUUAUAUUGUGGAAUUUGUCAAACUGAUCUUCAUUAGAUCAACAAUGAUUGGGGCAUCACCAAAUAUCCUAUUGUACCUGGGCAAGUUUACUCUUUAAUGCAUUCUUUAUUUUACUUUUUAUGUUCUUUAUUUGUGAUCGCCAAAAUUUUUUAUUGUGCAUAUAGGUAACAAAAACUUGUAAGAAGCGUUGAAUCGAUUUUACAUUAGAGAAUUUUCUAGUGUAACUUUCUGAAUUAUUAUAGAUGUAGCUGUAUUUCCGCUCAUUACAAAAUGAUAGAUUAUACCUAGAAUAUAUACACAAAGCUAGAUACAAAAAGGUCAAGAUCAGAUCCCUCAUAUCGUGCUUUUUACCUACAAUAUGUGACUAUGUGUACCUACAAUAUUUGACUGUGUAUCUAACACAAUCUAACAAUUGAUAUACUUUGACAAAUAUCUUGACAUUGGUAUCUGACUAUCUUAUCACUCCCCCUCAAGUUGGAGCUACAUGUCCUAUGCUCCGAACUUGCCACAAAUGUAUCUAAUCCGAGCUCCUCUAAGGGACUUAGUCAAAAUAUCUGCCAAUUGAUCAUUUGAACCGACGAAGCUAGUGGCCAUACAUCCGGAUUCAAUCUUCUACCUAAUAAAAUGACAGUCCACUUCUAUAUGUUUCGUUUUUUCAUGGAAAACUGAAUUUGAGGCAAUAUGUAGGGCGGCCUGAUUGUCAUAUAUAAACCUCAUCUGUUUGAAUUCAACACAUUUUAACUCUUGGAGAAGUUGUUUCAACCAAUUAAGCUAGCAUGUAACAAGGGCCAUAGCUCGAUAUUCAUCUUCCACAUUAGAUCUGGCAACAACAUCUUGCUUCUUACUUUUUCGAGAAAUUAAAUUGCCUCCAAUCAUGACGCAAUACCCAAACGUAGAGCGUCUAUCUAUUGGAGAACCUGCCCAAUCCGCAUUAGAAUAUCCAACAAUGUUUCUGUGACCUUUGUCUUAAUAUAUCAAUCCUUCUCCUGGAGCUCUUUUGACAUAUCGGAGGAUGCGAAUUACUGCAUUCCAAUGAUCUUGACAUGGAGCUUGGAGAAACUGACUAACCACACUUACUGCAAAUGAAAUAUCCGGGCGUGUGAUAGUGAGAUAAUUCAGUUUACCGACCAAUCUUUUAUAUCUACCGGGAUCUUUCAGUGGCCUCCCUUGUCCAGGGACGAGUUUAAUGUUUGGAUCCAUAGAAGUGUCAAUCGAUUUGCAAUUUAACAUGCAUGUCUUUUUUAAUAUGUCUAAAGCAUAUUUUCUUUGUGAGAUAGCAAUACUUGUCUUGGAUUGUGCUACCUCAAUUCCCAAAAUAUACUUUAACUUCCCCAAAUCUUUGGUUUGAAUGUGACUGAACAAAUGUUGUCAACAUAAACGACCAAAUAUGACAAUGUCGUCAACAUAAACGACCAGAUAAAUGUUCUUUUCUGGACCAUUAUGUCAAUAGAACACAAAGUGGUCUGCUUUACUUUGAGACAUGCCAAAUUGUUGGACGACAAAACUAAAUCUGCCAAACCAUGCCCUUGGAGAUUGCUUGAGGCCAUAUAGAGAACGUUUGAGACUGCAAACGAAGUCUGACUCCCCCUGAGCAACAAAUCCAGGAGGUUGCUCCAUAUAAACUUCCUCAGCAAGUUCACCAUGCAAAAAUGCAUUCUUAAUAUCUAGUUGAUGAAGCGGCCAAUGAUGCAUUGCUGCCAAGGAGAUAAUCAAGCGAACAGAUGCAAUUUCCGAAACUGGAGAGAAUGUAUCACCAUAGUCAAGAUCAUAAAUCUGGGUCUACCCUUUGGCAACAAGGCGAGCUUUUAGUCGAUCAACUGUUCCAUCCAAACCCACUUUUACCAUAUAGAUCCAUCGACUUCCAACAGUAGAUUUUCCCUUCGUUAACUGGACCAACUCCCAAGUGUUAUUGGUCUGUAAAAUAUUCAUUUCUUCGAUCAUAGCAUCUCUCUACCCUGGAUGUUCUAGUGCUUCACUAAUAGUUUUUGGUACAGGUACAUUAAAUAUGGUAUACACAAAGGUAUAAUAUAAUAGGGACAACCGAUGAUAACUUAAACAGUUAUAUCUUUAUGGUUGUUGAUUUUGUGUAGUACGUAUACCUUUGCGUAUGGCAAUUGGUGGGGUCACUGCAUCUGAUGAAGGCAUGACGGGAGAAGGUGAUGACGGAGCAAGACAUGAGUCAUCGGGAGCGACCAAUGUAUCAGGACUAGGAGUAGUGCUAUAAUUAUCAUUGUUAAGAGGACGAGCAGGCCGAGUGUAUACUUGUAGAGGAAGAGCGUUUUGAGGGUUUUCUGAAAUAGGGACUUGUUGUAGAGGAAGUAUAGGUACUGACAAAACUUGAGGAAUUAAACUUCUGCUUAUAGUGCUUGGUAUAAAAUAGGGAGAUGUUUCAAAAAAUGUCACAUCUGCACUAAUAAAAUAUUUAUUUAUUUUUGGAUCAUAGCAUUUGUAACCUUUUUGGUGACAAGAGUAUUCUAGAAAGGCACACUUCAUUGAUUUUGGUUGGAGUUUGUCAUUUCUAGUACUUUGAUCAUGGACAAAGCAAACACAUCCAAACACUCUCAAAGGUAAAUGAUAAGGAUUUUGACCUGGAAAAAGAAUUGAGUGAGGACUUUGUUGUUGCAACACAGUGGAGGGCAUUCUAUUGAUCAAAUAACAAGCAGCGAGAACAACAUUUCCCCAAAAACAAAGAGGAACGUGAUGGUGUAUAAGUAAAGUACGAGCAGUUUCGAUGAGAUGCUUAUUUUUACAUUCGGUGACUCCAUUUUGUUGAGGAGUAUAUACACAAGAUGUCUGAUGAGUGAUUCCUGAGACAACAUGAAACUAGAAAAGGGAGAAGAUAAGUACUCUUUGGCAUUAUCACUGCGUAAUACCUUUAGAAACACCAAAUUGAUUAUUUAUCUCAGCACAAAAUUUUUGAAAAAUAAAGAAUACUUCAGAAUGAUUUUUCAUCAAAUAUACCCAUGUGCAACGGGAGAAGUCAUUAAUAAAGAUAACAAAAUACUGAAUCCUAGACUUAAAACGACACGACUAGGACCCCAUAUAUCUGAGUGAACAAUGUCAAAUAUACAUGUGGGCCCUGUUAUUGACACUUUUGGAAAAUGAAGUAUGACUAUAUUUCCCAAGUUGACAUGACUCACAUUCAAAAGAAGACAAAGAGAAAAGACUAGGGAUUAACUUUUGAAGUUUUGCGAGACUCGGAUGACCAUAACGGCUGUGGAGAAAAUCAACUAAGGAAGCAGAAGUGAAGGCAACUGGUGGUGGAGAUUUUGACAUGUGAUAUAGUCCCUGUUACUCAUAUCCUAUUUCAAUCGUCUUCCCCGUUCUCUAGUCCUGUACAACAACAGAGUUCGCCAAAAAAGUGACACCAUAAUUUAGGUGCUUGAUUAAUUUGCUUAUAGAUAUCAAAUUAAAUGGACAUUCAGGAGCAAAUAAAGAUGAGUUUAAGGAAAUAGAAGGAAGAAGUUGCACGUCCCCUAUUCCUUUUACUGCAGUUCAUGAUCCAUUAGCAAGGGUAACUGCGGAGAGGGUUGUGGAAUGAAUAAGAUUUGAGAAAAGAUUUUGAUUACCAGAGAUAUGGUCAGAUGCACUAGAAUCCACUAUCCAUGGGCAAGUGGGUGAAGACCUGGUUAGACAAGCAAAGGAAUUACCAAUUUGUGGGGUGCUAGCUAAAGGUGAUUGUUGCGUAGCCGCUUGAUACUGCAAGUAAUCAUUAUAAUCUGCUCCAGAAAAAGUAAUAGAAUUAGACAGUUGACCCUCUAUAUCUUUACGGAUCUGAGCCACAUGAGCUGUACUACAAUUGUUAAUACGUUGUGGUCGACCAUGCAAUUUCCAACAAGUCUGUCGAGUAUGGCCUAGCUUGUUGCAAUAGUUGCAAUAGGGUCUAGAGUUUCUAAUGUUUCUCCUUUGCUGGACAUUUUGUUCCUGUGAGUUCUCAUUUUUCACAGCUAAUACAGAUGUCUCAACGUUAUUGGUAUCAUUUGUUUUUGAACUAAUACACAACAAUGGAGCUGAAACGUCGAUUACGGAAGGAACUGAUGAACUUGCCAAGAUUUGAUCCCUUAUAGGACUCAAAUCAGAUCGAAGUCCUUUUAGUGCUAGAACCAUCAAGAACUUAUCUCUUUGUUGCUCCUGAUGAGAGAGUCAAAUUAAUCUUUCAAGGUAUUGAUUUGUCCUAAAUAACUCGCCAUAUCUUCAUUAUUCUGCUGAAGUUGGACCAAGUCUGAGACAACCUUGUAUAUGCGUUGUAUGUCAUUCAUAUACAAAGUCUUAGCUUUAGUCCAAACUUUAUAGCAAUUUUUACAAGAUUGAAAUAGAUUAAGUUAGGAUCCAAAGAAUUUCAUACGAGAUUGCAUAAUUGAGAAUCAAUUUGAGUCCACUUAGUCCUUUCACUAGUAACAAUAUCACUAGUAUUUUUAAAUGAUCCUCAUAUCCUUAUCCCAUAAACCAUAUCUCGACAGAUGAAGACCAUGGUGUGUAAUUAUUACUACCUUCCAAUUUUAUGGUAGUUAUAAUAGGAGAACUUGAAAUAGAGGAAAACAUGGAUUUGAAAUUUCCUGAAGAUUCAGUUUUCUAUGAGACACUAGUUAGAGAUUCACCUUUCUCUGACAUUAUGGCUUCAACAACUAACUGAAAUUCUAAAAAAAUGAGUUACAAAAAAAAGAAUUUUUUUUUGGUUAAUAGAACUUGAAACAAAGGAAAUAAAAGAACAAGGUUCCUCUUGGUGACUAAAGAUCUUGUAGAACUAUUUCUAUCUUAAAUGAACAAGAGCUACGCCAGAAAAAGGAAGAAACAGUCGAUGAAGAUGACUCGUUUUACUGAAAAUUAUAUGAGUGAUGGGUAAGAUUAGAAUAAACGAUUGGACCUCAUAAACUCAGAAUGACAGUUUGACAUGGUCAGGAAAACCUACAGGAAGUGCUGCUAGUAAAGGAAGAAGCUGGAAUAGUUAUGGAAAAUCUAUCAAAACAGUCACCGAAAAAGGCAACUUGAGCCUCUACAAAGACAACAGGAAUCUCUGAUACCAUAUUACAGAUGUAGCUGUAUUUCAGCUCAUUACAAAAUGAUAGAUUAUACCUAGAAUAUAUACACAAAGCUAGGUACAAAAAGGUCAAUAUCAGAUCCCUAAUAUCCUGCUCUUUACCUACAAUAUGUGACUAUGUGUACCUACAAUAUUUGACUAUGUGUAUCUAUAACACAAUCUAACAAUUGAUAUACUUUGACAAAUAUCUUGACAUUGGUAUCUGACUAUCGUAACAUGAAUAAAUCCAAUAAAAUGCUUCAAUAUUUUUAAGGGAUCCAUGCAAUUUAAAUUUGGACCAUAUUGUAAAUAUUUAAACCUCAAAAAUAAUUAUGUAAAUACUAGAGUGGACCCGUUCAUAUUACAAAUGGGCAGGACAGUUCGAUGCACUAAGCUCCCACUAUGCAUGGGGUCAGUGAAGGAUCGGACUACAAAAAUCUAUUGAAUGCAACCUUAUCCUACAUUUCUGCAAGAGUAUGUUUCCACUUUUCACAGCUUGAACCGGUUACCUCUUUUGUCAUUCAUAUUACAAAUGUAUGGAGGAAUUGAUUAACAAGAAACUUAUGUGUUGGAGGUCAAUAUAGUUUUGAAUUUAUGAAGUCAAUAUAGUUUUGAAUUUAUGAAAUCAAAAUUAUGUCAAUCUCAAUUGUUUUUGCAAGCAUGAAAUUGUUGGUGUGGUAACUGAGGUUGGUAACAAGGUAGACAAGUUUAAAGUCGGAGAAAAAGUAGGUGUUGGAUACUGAUGUUGCAUUUUUUAAUAUUAUCAUAAUCCUAAGUGUUGCACUACUCCUUUAUCAUAAUUAUAGUGGUGUACUCAACAAUAUUAUCAUAAUCCUAAGUGUUGCACUACUCCUUUAUCAUAAUUAUAAUGGUGCACUAAACAAUUCUUAAUGCCAUGCACUCCUAGAAUUGGUUUUCUUUUAUAUAUAUAUUCAUCAUUAAGCCAUUAUAUAUACAUCCUAACAAUUGUUUUAUUGGUCUGAGAAAACAAAGAGAAAUCUAACAAUCUACGUUGUAUUAUUCAUAUUAAAGAGAGUUUGCUAGUUGAAGGGAGGUGUUCUUUUAGUGGAGCUUUGAAUUCAAUUCUUGUCUAGAGUUGUAGAGUUAUUGUGAGAAGACUGUUGUAUCCUGGAGGGGACAAGUCAAAAGGAUAACUGCUGGACCGGUGAAACACUUGCUGCAGUGGGCUUGAAUCUCCUUAAAGAGAGCAAGAUAUCCGUGCCUCAGCCAAAGAAGAAGAAGAUAAUUUUUUCUUAUUUUCUUCACUUGUAAUUUUCAGUUGUAUUAUUAUUGUAAUUUCACCAACAAUUUUAAGAAAAUUCAAAUGACAACAACUGAAAAAUCCAUGGAUGUCAAGAUAGGAGAUCUUAACAAGUCAUUCUGGUUCAACGAGACUCACUUCAAGAGGUGGAAGGGUAAAGUGUUUUUCUAUUUGAGUUUUCUUGAUGUCUCUUACAUUUUAACUGCGAAGAAUCCAAGCAAAGUAGAUAACUCUUCUAUGAGUGAUGAAGAACUCAUUUCUCUUGAAGAGAAAGUGAAAAAAUACAACAAUGACUCCUGUAAGUAUCGGUAUUUUUUACUUAAUAGUCUGUCUGAUAUUUUUAUGAUUAUUAUGAUAAAACUUACUCUAGUGAAAAAAAAAAUUUAAAAAGCAUUGUAGAGUAAGUAUGACACUGAGGAGGCGGGAGCGAAAAAAUAUGCGGCUAGCAGAUUUUUCAGUUUCCAAAUAGUGGACGACAAAUUAACGGUAGACCAAGUUCAAGACAUUAUAAUGAUCGUUGGCGAACUUAGGUCCGAAGAAGUCAAAAAUGGAGAUAACCUUAUUGUUUGUGGCAUAAUUGAUAAACUUCCACCUUUGUGGAAAGAAUUUCAAGAAACUAUGCGCCACAAGCAAAAGGAAACUUCUCUUGAGACUUUGAUAAUGAGAAUCCGCAUGGAAGAAGAAGCAAGGGGCCAAGAUGUACUUAUGCAAAUAGAAGAGAACAACAUCACACCGAAGGUAAAUUUAACUUCAAGUAAUGCUACCCCUGAACCUAACAAAAAUACUAUUUUGAAGCCUAAGAAGAAAAAAUUCAAGAAAAAUAAUGGUAGACAUCUCAAAAAUAAUAAUGGUGGAAACAACCAAACAAACAAAUCAACAUUUACAAGAAAAAGGACCAUGCUUUGUCUAUGGCAAGAGUGAGAAUAUUGCUCGAUUUUGCAGGUAUUAGAAACGUGGGCCUACACCUCAGGAAAAUGUUACCGAAGAACCAUUUGUGGCAGUGAUAACAGACAUAAACAUGAUGGUGAAUGUUGAUGGAUGGUGGGCUGACUCUGGUGCAAACCGUCAUGUCUGUUAUGACAAAGACUGGUUUAAAAAAUAUACAAAAUUUGAGGAGCCCAAAACCAUCAUGGUUGGAGAUUCACACACAAUUCAAGUACUUGGAAUGGGAGAUGUCGAAUUGAGAUUUACUUCUGGAAGGGUAUUAAUCUUAAAAGAUGUACUUUAUAUUCCUUCUAUGAGAAAAAUUUUGAUGUCUAGUUUUCUUCAUAAUAAAGCAGGUUUCAAACAGAUUAUUGAAUCUAGCCAAUAUGUAAUUGUUAAAAAUAAUAUUUUUGUGGGAAAAGGGUAUGCAUAUGAUGGUAUUUCAAGUUGAGUGUUGAAAUGAAUAAAACAUCUACUUUUGUUUACAUGCUUUCUUCUACUAAUUUUUGGCGUACUCGUUUGUGUCAUAUAAAUGAUCGUUAUAUGGGAAUCAUGAGUAGUUUAGGAUUAAUUCCAAUGAUCAAAAAGAACUUUGAAAAAAUGUGAGGCUUGUAGUAAAGCCAAAAUCACAAGAAGGCCUCAUUUUCAAGUUUAAAGUAAAACUGAAUUAUUAGAAUUAAUUCAUACUGAUAUUUGUGAACUUGGUGUAAUUUUAACUCGUGGAGGAAAUAGAUAUUUUAUCACUUUUAUUGAUGAUUUUUGUAAGUUUACAUAUGCUUACUUAAUCAAAAAUAAAAGUGAUUCUUUUGAGAAUUUUAAAACUUUUCUCCAUGAAGUUGAAAAUCAGUUUAGUAGAAAAAUAAAAAGAAUAAAAAGUGAUAGAGGCCGUGAAUAUGAGUCACAUGAGUUCAAUUCUUUUGUUAGAUCAUUG